GAUGAACGCUGACAGAAUGCUUAACACAUGCAAGUCGAUGGGGAAGUGGUGCUUGCACCAUGGCAACCAUGGCGGACGGGUGAGUAACGCGUAAGGGACUUACCUGCAGGACUGGGAUAACAGGGGGAAACUCCUGACAAGACCGGAUAAUGUCAUGGAGCUGCAUGGCUUUAUGAUGAAAGGAGACGCCUGCGGAGAGCCUUGCGUCCUAUUAGCUAGUUGGUGAGGUAAUGGCUCACCAAGGCGAAGAUAGGUAGCCGGCCUGAGAGGGUGGACGGCCACAAGGGGAAUGAGAUACGGCCCUUACGCCUACGGGAGGCAGCAGUGGAGAAUAUUGGACAAUGGGGGCAACCCUGAUCCAGCACUUCUGUGUGCACGAAGAAGUUUUUCGGAUUGUAAAGUGCUUUCAGCAGGGAAGAAGUAAGUGACGGUACCUGCAGAAGAAGCGACGGCUAAAUACGUG
rnacentral:rRNA from 1 species